GCGGCCAUGGUGUAGUGGUUAGCAUUAUUGCCUUCCAAGCAAUAGAGUCGGGUUCGAUUCCCGAUGGUCGCA